GUGCACUCACUUGGGCAGCACGUAUACUAAGAUUGGAAUGAUGCAGAGAAGGUUAGCAUGACCCCUGAGCAAGGAAGACAUGCAAAUUCAUGAAGCAUUCUAUAGCUUU
ensembl:snRNA U6 U6 spliceosomal RNA